rnacentral:misc_RNA from 1 species
UACGUAGGGGGCAAGCGUUGUCCGGAAUUAUUGGGCGUAAAGGGCACGCAGGCGGCUCGGGAAGUCUGAUGUGAAAGUCUCAUGCUCAACAUGGGGAUGGCAUCGGAAACUAUCGGGCUUGAGUGCAGGAGAGGAGAGUGGAAUUCCACGUGUAGCGGUGAAAUGCGUAGAGAUGUGGAGGAACCCCCGUGGCGAAGGCGGCUCUCUGGCCUGUAACUGACGCUGAGGUGCGAAAGCGUGGGUAGCGAACAGG